rnacentral:rRNA from 1 species
GACGAACGCUGGCGGCGUGCCUAACACAUGCAAGUUGAGCGACGAACCAGGGCUUGCCCUGGGGCAAAGCAGCGAACGGGUGAGUAACACGUGGGUAACCUACCCCGAUAACCGGGACAACCCGAGGAAACUCGGGCUAAUACCGGAUGUGCUCACUGGACUUCGGUUCAGUGCGUAAAGGAAGCUUCGGCCUCCGUAUCGGGAGGGGCCCGCGGCCCAUUAGUUUGUGGGUGAGGUAACGGCUCACCAAGACCGCGAUGGGUAGCUGGGCUGAGAGGACGAUCAGCCACACUGGGACUGAGACACGGCCCAGACUCCUACGGGAGGCAGCAGUGGGGAAUCUUGCGCAAUGCGCGAAAGCGUGACGCAGCAACGCCGCGUGGGGGAAGAAGGCCUUCGGGUUGUAAACCCCUUUCAGGAGGGACGAAGGUUCGGCGGUGAAUAGCCGUCCGGACUGACGGUACCUCCACAAGAAGCCCCGGCUAACUACGUG